rnacentral:rRNA from 1 species
CCUACGGGAGGCAGCAGUGAGGAAUAUUGGUCAAUGGACGCAAGUCUGAACCAGCCAUGCCGCGUGCAGGAAGACGGCUCUAUGAGUUGUAAACUGCUUUUGUACGAGGGUAAACGCAGAUACGCGUAUCUGUCUGAAAGUAUCGUACGAAUAAGGAUCGGCUAACUCCGUGCCAGCAGCCGCGGUAAUACGGAGGAUUCAAGCGUUAUCCGGAUUUAUUGGGUUUAAAGGGUGCGUAGGCGGGCGGAUAAGUUAGCGGUGAAAUCCCGAGGCUCAACUUCGGAAUUGCCUCUGAUACUGUUCGGCUAGAGAGUAGUUGCGGUAGGCGGAAUGUAUGGUGUAGCGGUGAAAUGCUUAGAGAUCAUACAGAACACCGAUUGCGAAGGCAGCUUACCAGGCUACUUCUGACGUUGAGGCACGAAAGCGUGGGGAGCGAACAGGAUUAGAUACCCCGGUAGUC